ACAACAGACCAGGCGUAUGAUGGUGGUCCCGGAAGAUUACGGUGGAGCUGAAAGUCCCUUCCCCUUGUGUUUUCACUCUACCUUCUCCAUGUUUUUGCUGUGUUGAAGCUGCCAACAGCGUUCAGUUCCACAGCAGGCUGCACAGCAGGCUGUGCCACAGGGCCUGGUGCCCAGCAGGCCCACACCCCCAGUGAGGACGCCAUCCCACAGCAGGGUCACCUGGCACUGUGUGUUGCAGAGCACAUCUGCUGUUAGGCGGCACAAGACUGCACAUACUGUCAGGACAGCAAUCUGGCAGGGUCUGGGCACGCUGAAGAAGGGCAUACCCAGCAAUCCUGCCCCUAGAAGCAUGGUCAAGAGGAAGUCGUGCCAAGAAGGCAAGAACACUCCCAGCAGUCCUGGUCACGACAGGAAACCAGGCACGCCAAGGGCAGGCCACCUCAUACCCUGGAGCACUACCUGGAGCACCAGGUAACCUGGAACUGGCCUGUGUCCUCACCAGCCUGCACUUGUAAGCAGCUCCGAGGUUCACACCCCUGCCCUAGAAAUCCCCUUUCCAGACUGACUCCAGGAAGCAGCAGUCGUUUUAAAUCCUGAACCAUUCACUUAAAGGUAGAUGAAUUCACAGAGAUAAAUAUCAGAAACACAGGACACGCGAUGUAUCCAAUCUGAGACCAUUCAUUCACAAUCUUUCAAAGGGCUAAACAGUACUACCUAUUGUCAGUACCUACAUACAGAACCAGAAAAAGCACAGCGACAAGCCACAAAUGGCAAACACCAAAUUUGGAAUGCUGGUGGCACGGGGAGGGCAGGAGGAGAGGACUGGGAUGGCAAAGGGAACGGCAGCACAUGGCUAUUCUCUGUGCAACUUUCUGAAAGCCCUAAAUUUUCAGCAUAAAAUAUCCAAGCCUAAAGCAGAGACACACAGUGUAACUGUGCCUCACAUUAGUCAGCCGUACAGAAGGCAACAGGCCAGCCUGUAACCACACCAGUGGACAGAUUCUAGUGAUGAAAUGAAACCGAGUGGGGUGGAUCCUGAGGCCUGGCCUUGUGCUACCCCCUCUGCCUGAUACCCCCCGACAGGUCACUGUCAUGCGUUUCACAGCAGACACCCACUUCUGGGACGGCCUCAAAUCCUGAGCAUGGAAGCCCAGCUGGCGCCUGACAGGGAGGGGAGAAAGGGAAGGACCAGACCUCACCAGAGGAAGGAUCAAGGUGACCUACAGGAAACCAACAAAACACCACCACCCAACAAGCCCCAUCUGUGAGUCAGAGGACAGCCACCAACAGUGAACAUCACACCCAAGGAAUGUCCACCCCGGGGACCUCAGCGCAUGGACACGUAUGCUGGGUGAAUGAGAAGGCAGACAGAGGCCACUGGACAAAAGCCCACCUGGACCCAGAGCAGGACAAAGCAGGCUGCUCCAAGUGUCUCCAAUCAAAGUGACCCAGCAAAAACCAAAACUGAGUUUUUACAUCAGUGGACAGCAAGCUAUGGGGCAUCCAGAUAGACCAGAGACUCGGAGCAACACAGCAACACAAAAUCCAGCCACUGACCACAGAGAGGCAGAGGGCAGUGUCCUGGGAAGAUGGCUGGGAAGCGCCCGCUAAAUAUAGCUCCUGUCUCAGGAAGGUAGCCCAGAAAAGACUUGGCUCUCUAGGCGAUUUCUGUCACUUCCUGUUACUCACAUCCUGCUGUUCCGAUGCAUUCUGCUGCGGCCCUAGCCCUUGGGUCUCCUACAUGCAAGCCCCUGAGACAGAUAUUCAUGACAGCUGGGCUGGAGACUGCAGGCUUCCUCACCUGGCACACUGAGACACGGAAACAGACACUACUCUACAGGUGAGCUCCUGGGCCAGGUCUGGGCUUCUGCACUAGCCACAGCUCUGCAACGACCCUGUCCGUCCCCAAAAGGAAACCAGGCAUAACAGCUGCACCUGGGCAACUGAGAGGUGCAGCUCAACACAGGACACCCUGAGCCCAACCCUCUCCUCAGGAGCUCAGGAAGCCCAUGCACAGAGCAACACCAGCUUGGCAAGAAGUUAAACCAUGUGUAUUUCUGGAUCAGAAAGUAUUUUUAAAGAACAAAAAGUAAAAUAAAGCAAAAAGUGAAAGCUCUACCUAAAAAAUGAAACAUGAGAAAAAUAUUCGGCAUUAUGUAUCUACUCCUCACUGAUGCUACUUCAUUGUGUCCCAGGAUGGGGUCAACUGAGGGGAAGUUGCAGAGUGGCAAGAGCUUUGGGCUAGGGAUGGCAAGAGCCUCUAGUGGGGAAGGAAAGCUGCCCUGAAAGGCACUUGGUUCAGCAGGGGCUCCUGGGGAAGCAUCCCCAGCAGGGGCUGCCGACAGUAAGCAGCACACAGAAGGCGACACAGAAAUCAGCCUCCAACUGCACGACAGGAGACACAGCCUGGAUCAGCAGGCCUAAGUGUGCUGUGUCCACUCCACAGACAGCAAUGAGAAGGCCGCUUAGGCUCAGGGCGUGAUAAAUUUAAAAGCAGGCCACAAAAUACUAGGUACAAUGGACACUUUCUGUGAACUAAAGUCUAUUUUCUGAUAGAGGAGAACCCAAAACAACUUUCUGUCAGAGUUUGUCAAUGUUGGCACGGUUACAAGCAGGCCGAACAGUCCUCUGUUGUGGGGCUGCCACAGGACACUGCAGGACUGGAGGGCUGAGCAGGGUCCCAGCCCACUCUGGCCACCUCCUGAGGCAAUCACCUCCCCACCCUCACCCCUGCCUGAGGAGAAUCCCAGUACCCAACAGACAUUAUCUCUAGAAUCCCACUGAUAACACUUUCAGAAAUUUUUGUUUGGGUUAUCUGUACUUAAUUAUUUACAAUAAGCAUGUUCCCUAUAUUAAAAGGAAAUUAUGUGUUUUGCUCUAAUGCAGUAUCUGAGUUCCUGAAAACCCUGUGUACUGCACGAAUAUGCAAUAAGAGUAAGAGGCUGCCUCAUGGUGAGAGAGGAGCUGGGGCAGCCGCUCACACCCUCACAACUCUUUAAUCGACACCAAGGAAGCAACAAAACCCUAAUGUGCUUUUUUAAAAAGCUAGUACAGGGCCAGGGAUUUAGCUCAGUGGUUCUGGCACCUGCCUCGAAAGCGCAAGGUCCAGAGUUCAAUCCCCAGUACCAAAAAAAAAAAAGCUAGUACAAUGUUUUAAACUAUAUACAGAAAUACACUAAAUACAGAACUUUGCUGCUUAAAAAAGUGAAGGCACCUGAUGGAUGGGAGUCGCUGAAGCUCAGUUAUGGAAAUAAGAGGCGAAACGCAGAGAGCAGCAAGGCAGAGCUGUGGCCGCUCUGAGAGGGAGGAGGGAGAAGUCAGGCCAAAGGUCUUCCAUCCAGGGCACGCGCCCCUCAGUGGCCAUGUCCCUCGGCUAGUGGCCUCAGCGGCCUUCUUGUUAGAGGAACACACUGCAGCAGAAAGGCAAGGACUUGCUCCCAGAGGGAACAAGGAGCUCGAACACCUAGGAGUACCAGUGUCAUGAACUCGAAGCACAAGUCCUCAGCAGUGGGGCAGUGGGGGUAAAAGAGAGGGGCAGCCGGGUGGAAAGGGAACACUCUGGCCUGCAGUCUGAUGGCCAGCAUGCUACCACACUCGUCCCCUCUUCUCUGGGCUAUUUGAUGAUAAAUCUGCACAUACCCCAGUGCAUCCAUAGUUACGAGAAGGGAAGCGAGGGGAGGAGAGAGGAGAAAAGGAAGGGAAGGAGACAAGAGGAGGCGCCUGGGCUCAGUGCUCCAGGGUUGGGUAAACCAUGGAAAAGCUACCAGGCUGCCUGAGAUGCAGACAGAAAACAAAA